UACGGGGGGGGCAGGCGUUGUUCGGAAUUACUGGGCGUAAAGGGCUCGUAGGCGGCCAACUAAGUCAGACGUGAAAUCCCUCGGCUUAACCGGGGAACUGCGUCUGAUACUGGAUGGCUAGAGUUUGGGAGAGGGAUGCGGAAUUCCAGGUGUAGCGGUGAAAUGCGUAGAUAUCUGGAGGAACACCGGUGGCGAAGGCGGCAUCCUGGACCAACACUGACGCUGAGAGACGAAAGCUAGGGGAGCGAAUGGG
rnacentral:rRNA from 1 species